CACGUAGGGCGCAAGCGUUGUCCGGAAUUAUUGGGCGUAAAGAGCUCGUAGGCGGUCUGUUGCGUCUGCUGUGAAAACCCGGGGCUUAACCCCUGGCUUGCAGUGGAUACGGGCAGACUAGAGGUAUGCAGGGGAGAACGGAAUUCCUGGUGUAGCGGUGAAAUGCGCAGAUAUCAGGAGGAACACCGGUGGCGAAGGCGGUUCUCUGGGCAUUACCUGACGCUGAGGAGCGAAAGUGUGGGGAGCGAACAGG
rnacentral:rRNA from 1 species